GACGAACGCUGGCGGCGUGCUUAACACAUGCAAGUCGAACGGAAAGGCCCUGCUUUUGUGGGGUGCUCGAGUGGCGAACGGGUGAGUAACACGUGAGUAACCUGCCCUUGACUUUGGGAUAACUUCAGGAAACUGGGGCUAAUACCGGAUAGGAGCUCCUGCUGCAUGGUGGGGGUUGGAAAGUUUCGGCGGUUGGGGAUGGACUCGCGGCUUAUCAGCUUGUUGGUGGGGUAGUGGCUUACCAAGGCUUUGACGGGUAGCCGGCCUGGGAGGGUGACCGGCCACAUUGGGACUGAGAUACGGCCCAGACUCCUACGGGAGGCAGCAGUGGGGAAUAUUGCACAAUGGGCGGAAGCCUGAUGCAGCAACGCCGCGUGCGGGAUGACGGCCUUCGGGUUGUAAACCGCUUUCGCCUGUGACGAAGCGUGAGUGACGGUAAUGGGUAAAGAAGCACCGGCUAACUACGUGC
rnacentral:rRNA from 1 species